rnacentral:lncRNA from 1 species
UCUAUAAGGAAUCGUUUGGGAGAGGUGGUAGAAAUAAAUGAGAGCACCUGUUUAUCAUUAAAAACGAAAGACUGAACUGUUGCAGUUACUUUCUAAAGUCACUUUUUUUUAUAGGAAGAUUUUGGAUAAAUCAUUAUCAAGGAAGCUAAGGACACCUGUGUUGUAUUGAAAGCACACCAGCCAUGAAAUCGGAAGGCCCAAAUUUGAAUUCCAGUUAUUCACAAAUACACACUCCAUCUAAAUUAUCUUUGACAGUCUUGCACAGCAAGAUAUGAAGGCUUUGCCCCCUACGUUCUCAAAAUUAAGGGAACACGGAAUUCCCAAAGACUGAUGAUGACAUUUGUACUAAGAAGAGCUGUCCAGGAAGAGCUCCCCCAACUUUUCUCCCUGGAGUGAAGAGCCAGCUACUCCAUUGGUUCUGAUCUUCGCAGAUGUUAACAGAUC